AUUGAACGCUGGCGGCAGGCCUAACACAUGCAAGUCGAACGAGUGGCGGACGGGUGAGUAAUGUCUGGGAAACUGCCCGAUGGAGGGGGAUAACUACUGGAAACAGUAGCUAAUACCGCAUACCAUCGGAUGUGCCCAGAUGGGAUUAGCUAGUAGGUGGGGUAACGGCUCACCUAGGCGACGAGCCCUAGCUGGUCUGCGUGGAUGACCAGCCACACGUGAACUGAGACACGGUCCAGACUCCUACGGGAGGCAGCAGUGGGGAAUAUUGCACAAUGGGCGCAAGCCUGAUGCAGCCAUGCCGCGGGUAUGAAGAAGGCUUUCGGGUUGUAAAGUACUUUCAGCGAGGAAGCGUUACUCGCAGAAGAAGCACCGGCUAACUCCGUGCCAGCCGCCGCGGUAAUUC
rnacentral:rRNA from 1 species